GGCGCGCUCCUCCCGCUGGCGCCCGGCAUCGUGCUGCCCUGCCCGGAGGCUGCCCGCGGUCCCCGCCACCCCGGAGGGCGCUCCGGGCACCCAGCGCUGAGGCUUGCCGGCGGAGGUCGCGACAAGAGGCUGGACCUCGGUGGUGCGCGGCUUGCGGACCCGCAGGUGUUCCUUUGAUACAGUGGAUGGUGACUCUGCUCUUCUGCCUGAGAGUGGUUCAAAAUGUUUCUGAUGAGAGAAUGCAAAGUUUGCUGAGAAAAUGGGAUUAUCUGAGAACCAGCCAGGUGCAGAAGUUCAACAGUAUAUGAUUGUAG